AUGCAAGUCGAACGAGUCUCUGGGGGGUAACUCCUAGAGGAAAGUGGCGAAAGGGGCAGUAAUGUAUGGGUAACCUACCUUGAGGUCUGGGAUAGCCAUCCUAACGGAUGGGUAAUACUGGACGGCCUGAGUUGUCGGCAUCGAUGAUUUAGUAAAGGUUACGCCUCGAGAGGGGCCCAUAUGAUAUUAGCUAGUUGGUGAGGUAAUGGCUCACCAAGGCAAAGAUGUCUAGCGGGCGUGAGAGCACGACCCGCGUCACUGGCACUGAGACACUGGCCAGACUCCUACGGGAGGCUGCAGUCGAGGAUCUUCGGCAAUGGACGAAAGUCCGACCGAGCAACGCCGCGUGUGCGAUGAAGGCCUUCGGGUUGUAAAGCACUGUCGAGGGGAAACAAGCCGUAAGGUUGAGUGACCCCUGGAGGAAGCACGGGCUAAGUUCGUGCCAGCAGCCGCGGUAAGACGAACCGUGCAAACGUUAUUCGGAAUCACUGGGCUUAAAGGGCGCGUAGGCGGGUAAUCAAGUCAAUGGUGAAAUCCUCCAGCUUAACUGGAGAAGUGCCUUUGAUACUGGUUGUCUAGAGGGAGGUAGGGGCAUGUGGAACUUCAGGUGGAGCGGUGAAAUGCGUAGACAUCUGAAGGAACGCCAGUGGCGAAAGCGAUGUGCUGGACCUCUUCUGACGCUGAGGCGCGAAAGCUAGUGGAUCAAACGGGAUUAGAUACCCCGGUAG
rnacentral:rRNA from 1 species